UACAUAGGGGGCUAGCGUUGUCCGGAAUCAUUGGGCGUAAAGAGCGUGUAGGCGGCCCGGUAAGUCCGCUGUGAAAGUCCAGGGCUCAACCCUGGGAUGCCGGUGGAUACUGUCGGGCUCGAGUCCGGAAGAGGAGUGUGGAAUUCCUGGUGUAGCGGUGAAAUGCGCAGAUAUCAGGAGGAACACCAAUGGCGAAGGCAGCACUCUGGGACGUGACUGACGGCUGAGACGCGAAAGCGUGGGGAG
rnacentral:rRNA from 1 species